UACGGGGUGAGCAAGCGUUGUUCGGAUUUACUGGGCGUAAAUGGCGCGUAGGCGGUCGUGACAAGUCACUUGUGAAAUCUCCGGGCUUAACUCGGAACGGUCAAGUGAUACUGUCGGACUAGAGUACAGAAGGGGCAACUGGAAUUCUCGGUGUAGCGGUGAAAUGCGUAGAUAUCGAGAGGAACACCUGCGGCGAAGGCGGGUUGCUGGGCUGAUACUGACGCUGAGGCGCGAAAGCCAGGGGAGCGAACGGG
rnacentral:rRNA from 1 species